rnacentral:rRNA from 1 species
UACGGAGACCUCAAGCGUUAUCCGGAAUUAUUGGGCGUAAAGCGUUCCGAUCGGUGGUUCAGUGUGUCCGUGGUUAAAGACCGAAGCUCAACUUCGUGUUUGCCAUGGAAACUAUUGAACUUGAAGAGCAAAGAGGUGGCUGGAACUCUACAAGUAGCGGUGAAAUGCGUUGAUAUGUAGGGGAACACCUAAAGCGAAGGCAGGCCACUGGGUGCUUCUUGACACUGCUAGGACGAAAGCGUGGGUAGCGAAUGGG